rnacentral:lncRNA from 1 species
GACGACCCCUUCAACCAUCUUUCAUGGGCUACAUAAUGAUGUUCGCCAAGUGCCAUGUUUUCACUUCGAGCAUGGCCCAAUUUUAUUCUAGAAAGUAUGGUCCAUAAUGGUUUACAAGGACUUUCCCAUCUCCCUCCAAAAAAUGAGAGACAAAAUCUUUACUGAUUUGGGAAGCCUUUUUGACCCCUAUGAUCUUAACCC